UACGUAGGGGGCGAGCGUUGUCCGGAAUGACUGGGCGUAAAGGGCGCGUAGACGGUUGUCUAAGUCUGGAGUGAAAGUCCUGCUUUCAAGGUGGGAAUUGCUUUGGAGACUGAAUGACUUGAGUGCGGAAGAGGUAAGUGGAAUUCCCAGUGUAGCGGUGAAAUGCGUAGAGAUUGGGAGGAACACCAGUGGCGAAGGCGACUUACUGGGCCGUAACUGACGUUGAUGCGCGAAAGCGUGGGUAGCAAACAGG
rnacentral:rRNA from 1 species